GGGAGGCGCGAGGGAAGUGGGGAGAUGGGGAAACACAGGAGCCCAGUCUCUCAGGCCAGAGGAUAAGGGGAAAGGGCAGACUGGAGGCACAGGCCUGGGGCUGGGCCCAGAAAGGCUGCCCUUCUUUGCCACAGGAACCUGGAUGGAGGUUGAGGAAAUAUGAAAGUGAAAUGGGAGAGCCUCCCGUGAAGGAGCAGCGAGAUCUUCUUGGCCUCUGGCCCAAACAUCCAAAAUUGGCUUCCAGUCAGUUGGUGUAGGAAGAAUGGGAUCUCUCAAAGGACCUGGGGCUUGGCCCCCUUCUGAGCUCUUGGCAGGUGCAGAGAAAAAAAGCUCUCGGGGCCUCCCCAGCAUCACAUAGCCCUGUCCCUUGGGUUCCAGGCUGCCAAGGCAAACCCAGUUCACCGCUGGAUCCACAAGCAGUGGCUAGUAUGAUGAGCCCCAUAUAAUAGUUGAGGAAACUGAGGCUGUGCAAGGUAAGGAGGUUUGCCUGAAAGCCAUAACUGGCCGGUGGCAGAGCUGGAACUACACUCCCAGCUCAACCCCCACCCUGUGCGCCGCCCCCCCCCCACCUUGUGUGCUAUGCUAAGGAGUUUGAGCCUCAGUCAACUCCCAGUCUGAUUGGAAUAAUAAUAAUAGUAAUGACUGCUUCCUGGAGUGACUGCCGGCAUUCUCUGAGCCCAGGUAUGUGAAAGAACUCUAUUGUAAACUACUCAGUCUCAAUUGUAGUGUCAUUAAAGGCCACCUUCAUUUGCAAA